GGUUUAGUGGUCUAGUGGUUAUGAUUUCUGUCUCACAUCGAACGAUACGCGUAGUACACAGAAGAUCCCCAGUUCGACCCUGGGCUGAACCA